rnacentral:rRNA from 1 species
UACGAAGGGGGCUAGCGUUGCUCGGAAUCACUGGGCGUAAAGGGUGCGUAGGUGGGUAAGUAAGUCAGUGGUGAAAUCUCCGGGCUUAACCCGGAAACUGCCAUUGAUACUAUUUGUCUUGAAUACUGUGGAGGUCAGCGGAAUAUGUCAUGUAGCGGUGAAAUGCUUAGAUAUGACAUAGAACACCAAUUGCGAAGGCAGCUGGCUACACAAAUAUUGACACUGAGGCUCGAAAGCGUGGGGAUCAAACAGG